CCUACGGGAGGCAGCAGUGGGGAAUUUUGCGCAAUGGGCGAAAGCCUGACGCAGCAACGCCGCGUGAGUGAUGAAGGCCCUCGGGUCGUAAAGCUCUGUCGGGAGGGAAGAAGUGAUUGAGGGUUAAUACCCCUUGGUCUUGACGGUACCUCCGAAGGAAGCACCGGCUAAUA
rnacentral:rRNA from 1 species